UGAAUACGAGGCACUAAGGUGCUGAAGUAGUGUAUGUCAUACUUCCAAGAAAAGCUUGCACUAUCGUAAGAUAAAAAUGCCUGUACCAUAACCGACACAGGUGGGUAGGUAGAGUAUAUAAGGGGCGCGAGAUAACUCUCUCUAAGGAACUCGGCAAAAUAACUCCGUAACUUCGGGAGAAGGAGUGCCUUAUUCUAUAAGGUUGCAAUAACAAGAUCCAAGCAACUGUUUAUCAAAAACACAGGUCUCCGCUAAGUCGUAAGACGAUGUAUGGGGGCUGACGCCUGCCCAGUGCCAGAAGGUUAAAGAAGUCGGUUAGCAAUUGCGAAGCUGGUAACUGAAGCCCUGGUGAACGGCGGCCGUAACUAUAACGGUCCUAAGGUAGCGAAAUUCCUUGUCGGGUAAGUUCCGACCCGCACGAAAGGCGUAAUGAUUUGGAUACUGUCUCGGAGAGGGACUCGGUGAAAUAGACUUGUCUGUGAAGAUGCGGACUACCUGCACCAGGACAGAAAGACCCUAUGAAGCUUUACUGUAACUUGAAAUUGAAAUUGGACUUUAUUCGCGCAGUAUAGGUGGGAGGCGUUGAUUAUAAUCUUGUGGGAUUAUUGGAGCCAUUAGUGAGAUACCACUCUUGUAAUGUUAGAUUUCUAACUUUGAAUCAUGAUCUGGUCAAAGAACAGUUUCAGGCGGGCAGUUUGACUGGGGCGGUCGCCUCCUAAAUGGUAACGGAGGCGUACAAAGGUUUCCUCUGAACGGGUAGAAAUCGUAUCUAGAGUGUAAAGGCAUAAGGAAGCUUGACUGUGAGACCUACAAGUCGAGCAGGGACGAAAGUCGGUCUUAGUGAUCUGACGGUACUGAGUGGAAAGGCCGUCACUCAACGGAUAAAAGUUACUCUAGGAUAACAGGCUGAUCUCCCCCAAGAGUUCACAUCGACGGGGAGGUUUGGCACCUCGAUGUCGGCUCAUCGCAUCCUGGGGCGGUAGUACGUCCCAAGGGUUGGGCUGUUCGCCCAUGAAAGCGGUACGCGAGCUGGGUUCAGAACGUCGUGAGACAGUUCGGUCCAUAUCCGGUGUAGGCGUUAGAAUAUUGAGAGGAGCCUUCUUUAGUACGAGAGGACCGAGAAGGACAUACCUCUGGUGUACCAGUUAUCGUGCCAACGGUAAAUGCUGGGUAGCUAUGUAUGGAGUGGAUAACCGCUGAAAGCAUCUAAGUGGGAAGCCCACCUCAAGAUAAGUA
rnacentral:rRNA from 1 species